AAAGUACUCCCUCCAUUCCAAAUUACUCGUCGCAGAAAUGGAUGUAUCCAGAACUAAAAUACAUCUAGAUAUAUCCAUACCUGCGACAAGUAAUUCGGAACGGAGGGAGUAGAUU
rnacentral:pre_miRNA from 1 species